rnacentral:rRNA from 1 species
UUGCACCUGAUGGCGAGUGCGAACGGUGAGUAAUGCAUCGGAACGUGCCCAAUCGUGGGGAUAACGCAGCGAAAGCUGUGCUAAUACCGCAUACGAUCUACGGAUGAAAGGCGGGGGAUCGUUCGGGCCUCGCGCGAUUGGAGCGGCCGAUGUUAGAUUAGGUAGUUGGUGGGGUAAAAGGCUCACCAAGCCGACGAUCUAUAGCUGGUCUGAGAGGACGACCAGCCACACUGGAACUGAGACACGGUCCAGACUCC